UACGUAGGGUGCAAGCGUUAAUCGGAAUUACUGGGCGUAAAGCGUGCGCAGGUGGUUGUGCAAGACAGAUGUGAAAUCCCCGGGCUUAACCUGGGAAUUGCAUUUGUGACUGCACGGCUAGAGUGCGGUAGAGGGGGAUGGAAUUCCGCGUGUAGCAGUGAAAUGCGUAGAUAUGCGGAGGAACACCGAUGGCGAAGGCAAUCCCCUGGGCCUGCACUGACACUCAUGCACGAAAGCGUGGGGAGCAAACAGG
rnacentral:rRNA from 1 species